UACGUAGGGUGCAAGCGUUGUCCGGAAUUAUUGGGCGUAAAGAGCUCGUAGGCGGUCUGUCGCGUCGGCUGUGAAAACUCGGGGGCUCAACCCCGAGCUUGCAGUCGAUACGGGCAGGCUAGAGUUCGGCAGGGGAGACUGGAAUUCCUGGUGUAGCGGUGAAAUGCGCAGAUAUCAGGAGGAACACCGGUGGCGAAGGCGGGUCUCUGGGCCGAUACUGACGCUGAGGAGCGAAAGCGUGGGGAGCGAACAG
rnacentral:rRNA from 1 species